CUGUGUCAUAUUUUUAAAGCCCUACUACAUGGAAUUUCAUUACGAAUUCCAUUACAGAUUAGCCAUUUUCUCUUUUGACAGACAUUUUAGUGUUAACUAGUUAACUAAGUUAAUUUUAGUAUUUUUUAAUACUUUGCUGAUACACACGCAUCCUUGUUCAAGUGUGGUUGUUUCUCUGGGUUCAGUAUCACAGGAAAUAUGCAUUAAAUUUUUUUUAAUACACACUGCUACAAUACCUCCCAGAAAGGCUGAUCUGUAUCACUGUGCCUCCCAUCUGCGUGCAAAGCUGUCUGUGUAGAGCUGUUCUAAGGGAGCCUAUGACUCUCAGAGAUCAUGUGAACUUUCUGGUAGAAACUUCUCACCA
rnacentral:lncRNA from 1 species